ensembl:lncRNA
CAACGCAAGAUGGUUUUCCACACAUUGGUAGAAAUUUUUAAUAAUAGUCCAUGUUGGUUAAAAAAAAAACUGUAGUAUUUGCGAUUACCGGUUUGUGUUAGUAUGGGCGUAUGCUGUCACUUAUAGGUUGAGUGGAAUUAAACACCAGCUGUGUUUUGUAAAACAAAUGUGGGGCCUUCAAAUCUUGACCAAGUGACCAGCAUCUGUGUCAGUUGGACUGGGCGGUUGUGAACUUAUACAACCUGAGCAGAUACUUUUUGUAUUGAGGACAGCCCGGUGAUGAUACAGAGUACAUUACCAUAAUAGAUUCAGUUACGGACACCCUACCUUGUGGCUGCACAGCGUGAGGGGAUUUUUGUUUCAUUGUUUUCUUUCAUGCUUGAAAGCUGAAGGUAAUACAGUCAACUCAUCAAAACUGUGAUGUAUGUAAAUGUAUGUUUGAGUUAGAAUAGUUUAACCUGAAAAGUGGAUCGUUAUUUACACGUUAAGCUAGAGAAAUGGCGAAAGAUAAUGCUAACAGACCAGACACAGAACAGCCAACAACCUCUACACAUAAUCAACCGACCACACCCCAAAAUACAAAUGAACCAACUAUUACUUCGUUACACAGCAAUGCAGACAAUAAUCCUCAGAUACAAGGCUUGUUAACCUAGCUUAGUAGCCCCCAUUUUUCACACAAUCUAGUUGACUCUUCUUCGAGCUCUCUGAUGCAAACUCAGUGCAGUGAUGGCGAUGUUAGAGUUAUACAACGUAAUGCGUUUCACAAUGUUGAAUUACGACAGUUGAUACAUUUACAAAAUACUGGUGAAGUUGGUGAUUUUGGCACAUUCUAUGCAAGUAUUAUGUCGGGCUUGGAUACUUGUUAGAGCUUCAGACUUUG